rnacentral:rRNA from 1 species
AUUGAACGCUGGCGGCAUGCCUUACACAUGCAAGUCGAACGGCAGCACGGGUGCUUGCACCUGGUGGCGAGUGGCGAACGGGUGAGUAAUACAUCGGAACAUGUCCUGUAGUGGGGGAUAGCCCGGCGAAAGCCGGAUUAAUACCGCAUACGAUCUACGGAUCAAAGCGGGGGACCUUCGGGCCUCGCGCUAUAGGGUUGGCCGAUGGCUGAUUAGCUAGUUGGUGGGGUAAAGGCCUACCAAGGCGACGAUCAGUAGCUGGUCUGAGAGGACGACCAGCCACACUGGGACUGAGACACGGCCCAGACUCCUACGGGAGGCAGCAGUGGGGAAUUUUGGACAAUGGGCGAAAGCCUGAUCCAGCAAUGCCGCGUGUGUGAAGAAGGCCUUCGGGUUGUAAAGCACUUUUGUCCGGAAAGAAAUCCUUGGCUCUAAUACAGUCGGGGGAUGACGGUACCGGAAGAAUAAGCACCGGCUAACUACGUG